ACGAGAAGUGCUGAUUGUGCGUGUAGUUUCGGCCUACGAAGAGGAAAUUUCCCUUGUU
rnacentral:tRNA from 1 species